AGAACGAACGCUGGCGGCAUGCCUAACACAUGCAAGUCGAACGAGACCUUCGGGUCUAGUGGCGCACGGGUGCGUAACGCGUGGGAAUCUGCCCUUAGGUACGGAAUAACUCAGGGAAACUUGUGCUAAUACCGUAUGAUGUCGAGAGACCAAAGAUUUAUCGCCUAGGGAUGAGCCCGCGUAGGAUUAGCUAGUUGGUGGGGUAAAGGCCUACCAAGGCUACGAUCCUUAGCUGGUCUGAGAGGAUGAUCAGCCACACUGGGACUGAGACACGGCCCAGACUCCUACGGGAGGCAGCAGUGGGGAAUAUUGGACAAUGGGCGAAAGCCUGAUCCAGCAAUGCCGCGUGAGUGAAGAAGGCCUUCGGGUUGUAAAGCUCUUUUACCCGGGAGAUAAUGACUGUACCGGGAGAUAAGCUCCGGCUAACUCCGUGCCAGCAGCCGC
rnacentral:rRNA from 1 species